rnacentral:rRNA from 1 species
CGGACCGGCGCACGGGUGCGUAACGCGUAUGCAACCUACCUUUAACAGGGGGAUAACACUGAGAAAUUGGUACUAAUACCCCAUAAUAUCAUAGAAGGCAUCUUUUAUGGUUGAAAAUUCCGAUGGUUAGAGAUGGGCAUGCGUUGUAUUAGCUAGUUGGUGGGGUAACGGCUCACCAAGGCGACGAUACAUAGGGGGACUGAGAGGUUAACCCCCCACACUGGUACUGAGACAUGGACCAG